GAAAAUUUAAAGCAGUUCAUGCACUUCUGAAAUCAAUUCAUACAUUCAGAAGUAAAAUUUCUUUUGAUCUUUUGUUUUGACAAGCACACAACAAAAAUCAAACACAAACUAGAAAGUCAAAAGCAAAUGGUGGGCUCAGCUUCCAUGUAUUUCGCGUUCGAAUAUGGAAGAGUAAAUAUUCAUAAUUUCUUACUCAUCCAAAACCCAGUUGAAUUCUGAGAUGGAAAAUAUGGAGAAGAAGAAAUUUGACAGCUUGAAGUCCAAGAGAAAUGGAUUCUUUAGGAACAGAUGAAGUAAAGAUUCUUUGAAUCUGACACUAACACUGUAUAUUAUUGUUGACCCAUCAAAUUUUGCGAGAACAAGAGGUUUGGGUUGUAGGGCGGAG
rnacentral:lncRNA from 1 species